rnacentral:rRNA from 1 species
ACGGCUCAGUAACACGUAGUCAACAUGCCCAGAGGACGUGGAUAACCUCGGGAAACUGAGGAUAAACCGCGAUAGGCCAUAAUUACUAAAAUAAGUUAUAACUUAAACCUAUAUGGCCUCUGGAUUGAACUGCGGCCGAUCAGGCUGUUGGUGAGGUAAUAACCCACCAAACCUGUUANCGGUACGGGCUCUGAGAAAAGAAGCCCGGAGAUGGGCACUGAGACAAAGGCCCAGGGCCUAUGGGGCGCAGCAGGCGCGAAACCUCUGCAAUAGGCGAAAGCCUGACAGGGUUACUCUGAGUAAUUCCCACUAAGGGGAUCUUUUGGCACCUCUAAAAAUGGUGCAGAAUAAGGGGUGGGCAAGUCUGAUAUCAGCCGCCACAGUAAUACCAGCACCCNGAGUGGUCGGGACGAUUAUUGGGCCUAAAGCAUCCGUAGCCGGUCAUGCAAGUCCUCCGUUAAAUCCACCUGCUUAACAGAUGGGCUGCGGAGGAUACUACAAGGCUAGGAGGCGGAAGAGGCAAGCGGUACUCAGUGGGUAGGGGUAAAAUCCUCUGAUCCAUUGAAGACCACCAGUGGCGAAGGCGGCUUGCCAAUACGCGCUCGACGGUGAGGGAUGAAAGCUGGGGGAGCAAACCGGAUUAGAUACCCGGGUAGUCCCAGCUGUAAACGAUGCAGACUCGGUGAUGGGCCGGCUUUAUGCCGGCUCAGUGCCGCAGGGAAGCCGUUAAGUCUGCCGCCUGGGGAGUACGGUCGCAAGACUGAAACUUAAAGGAAUUGGCG